rnacentral:rRNA from 1 species
AUUGAACGCUGGCGGCAUGCCUUACACAUGCAAGUCGAACGGCAGUACGGGAGCAAUCCUGGUGGUGAGUGGCGAACGGGUGAGUAAAGUAUCGGAACGCGCCCAGUCGUGGGGGAUAACGUAGCGAAAGUUACGCUAAUACCGCAUACGAUCGAUGGAUGAGAGUGGGGGAUCGCAAGACCUCGCGCGAUGGGAGCGGCGGAUGUCAGAUUAGGUAGUUGGUGGGGUAAAGGCUCACCAAGCCGACGAUCUGUAGCUGGUCUGAGAGGACGACCAGCCACACUGGGACUGAGACACGGCCCAGACUCCUACGGGAGGCAGCAGUGGGGAAUUUUGGACAAUGGGCGAAAGCCUGAUCCAGCCAUGCCGCGUGCAGGAUGAAGGCCUUCGGGUUGUAAACUGCUUUUGUACGGAACGAAAAGGUUUGGCCUAAUAAGCUGAGCUCAUGACGGUACCGUAAGAAUAAGCACCGGCUAACUACGUGCCAGCAGCCGCCGUAA